CUGAUGUGAUGGUUCUGGCUUUAAUUAGUACAGCCUGUAUUAGUAAUCUCAUCUAUUCUUUACAGGCUUUGCUAAUCUAUGCCAGAAUCAGCAAUGCAAUGG
rnacentral:pre_miRNA from 1 species